AUUGAACGCUGGCGGCAUGCUUUACACAUGCAAGUCGAACGGCAGCGCGGUCUUCGGCCUGGCGUCGAGUGGCGAACGGGUGAGUAAUUCAUCGGAACGUGCCCAGUUGUUUGGGAUAGCCCGGCGAAAGCCGGAUUAAUACCCCAUACGACCUGACGGUGUAAGCGUGGGACCGAAAGGCCUCGCGCUAUUGGAGCGUCCGAUGUCGGAUUAGCUAGUUGGUGGGGUAAAGGCGUACCAAGGCGACGAUCCGUAGCUGGUCUGAGAGGACGACCAGCCACACUGGGACUGAGACACGGCCCAGACUCCUACGGGAGGCAGCAGUGGGGAAUUUUGGACAAUGGGGGCAAGCCUGAUCCAGCCAUGCCGCGUGCGGGAAGAAGGCCUUCGGGUUGUAAACCGCUUUUGUUCGGGAAGAAAUCCUCUGGGCUAAUACCCCGGGGGGAUGACGGUACCGGAAGAAUAAGCACCGGCUAACUACGUG
rnacentral:rRNA from 1 species